ACUCCUACGGGAGGCAGCAGUAGGGAAUCUUCCACAAUGGGCGAAAGCCUGACCGAGCAACGCCGCGUGAGUGAAGAAGGUUUUCGGAUCGUAAAACUCUGUUGUUAGAGAAGAACGUUAAGUAGAGUGGAAAAUUACUUAAGUGACGGUAUCUAACCAGAAAGGGACGGCUAACUACGUGCCAGCAGCCGCGGUAAUACGUAGGUCCAAGCGUUGUCCGGAUUUAUUGGGCGUAAAGCGAGCGCAGGUGGUUUCUUAAGUCUGAUGUAAAAGGCAGUGGCUCAACCAUUGUGUGCAUUGGAAACUGGGAGACUUGAGUGCAGGAGAGGAGAGUGGAAUUCCAUGUGUAGCGGUGAAAUGCGUAGAUAUAUGGAGGAACACCGGAGGCGAAAGCGGCUCUCUGGCCUGUAACUGACACUGAGGCUCGAAAGCGUGGGGAGCAAACAGGAUUAGAUACCCUGGUAGGAUAGCG
rnacentral:rRNA from 1 species